ensembl:snRNA U6 U6 spliceosomal RNA
GUGCUCGCUUCAGCAGCACAUAUACUAAAAUUGGAAUGAUACAGGGAAGAUUAGUAUGGCCCCUGUGCAAGGAUGACAUGAAAUUCAUGAAGCAUUCCAUUUUUUU